AAGCUAUUAGUAAAACACCAUUACAAUGUCUUGUCAAGACAAAGUCACAAGUUUAACUCUUGUAUAGCUUU
rnacentral:tRNA from 1 species